UCCCAAAAGUGUCAUGCUGAAAAAAGCCAGAAACAAAGGAAUGACUCGAUUUAUUCUAGAACAAGCACAACCACUCCAUGGUGACAGAUGUCAGAACAGUGGUUGCCUAUGAGGGGUGGAGGUCACCUGGAAAGGGCACCAGAUGAUGGAAAUGCCCUAUAUUUUGGUUGGGCUGUUGAUUACACAGUGCAUACAUUUCUUAAAACCCAUCGUGAUCUGUGUAUUUCAUCACAUGUAAAUUAUACAAGAGUAAUGAUAAUGGUACUGAUAAUAGCCUAGAUCCUGUUGACUUUGUAAAGCCACCCUCUCAGCUCUGAACUGUCCACCUCCGAACCUUAUUUAUAUGAGAAAGAAACUUCAUUUUUCUUUCGCAUUUUCGGACACUUUGAGCUAAUCCUGUCUUGACAGCACUACAUCUCCUCCACGCCAGUCACCGAUCGCACAGCUGACUCCUCUUUCUGCUCUGGGUGGUGAAGUCCACGAGGGAGUUGGCCCUUGGAGCUAGGGUACAGUGCAACAUUAUGAAGAGCUACUGCUGUUGCUGUGUAUCGAUUCUGUGUGCUGCUUCUUACUGCUGCAUGCUCUUUCAUAAGGGUCAGGCACUUCACACACUGUAGCAGAUGCUUUGGGUGCCUCCAGUCACGUCUAAUAUCCACCCCAGCAGCGAUGAAUCCAUCCGCGUGAGUUCAGAGUCCCACUGAAAUAGCGUUUCAUCUUAGGCAUGCAGCAUAUAUCUCCUCAUUACUUCUGUCUGAAGGCCUUUGUCAAGGCAUAGGAACCUGCUCAGCCUGGAGGUGAAGCCCAGAAAUGUGGGGGAGGUAACUCUACUGGAAGAACACUCAGCUUCUGGAGAAUAAAAACCCCAGCCUUCUGUGUUUCCUGUGGACAACUCUGGGAGGCAUUCUAUGUUUCUCAGAAGUCUUGGUGGAAUAACCCCCCAUUGCCUACACCAAAGACCCCAGUAAUCCAUUCUUAUCAUUGCUUCCCUCCUGUCCCCUGUUUUUCUUUCUCUUGCUCCCUGAGCUCAGCCCCACAAAUAAACCACCCACACCCAAGUCCUCUUCUUUUUUAAAAAAUUGAAACAUAAUUCAUUGUACAUAUCUGUGGGGUACAGCA